rnacentral:rRNA from 1 species
CCGCGUAAGACCACAGUGCCUGCGGGCACAGGGGGGAAAAGAGGGCCUCUGAAUAUGCUCUCACCGGGAGAUGAGUCUGCGUCCCAUCAGCUAGUUGGUGAGGUAAUGGCUCACCAAGGCAAAGACGGGUAGCUGGUCUGAGAGGAUGAUCAGCCACACUGGCACUGGAACACGGGCCAGACUCCUACGGGAGGCAGCAGUGGGGAAUAUUGGGCAAUGGGCGGAAGCCUGACCCAGCCACGCCGCGUGAGUGAUGAAGGCCUUCGGGUUGUAAAGCUCUGUGGGAAGGGGAGAAAAACUGCGACCUAAUACGUCGCAGGUUGACGGUACCUUCUUAGCAAGCACCGGCUAACUCUGUGCCAGCAGCCGCGGUAA